GAAAUUUAAGGGCGUAUGGUGGAUGCCUUGACUUUAAGAGGCGAUGAAGGACGUGGCGUUGCUGCGAUAAGCUUCGGGGAGGUGCUUAGCNNACCCUGGGAAGUGAAACAUCUCAGUACCAGGAGGAAUAGAGACAAAUAUGUAUUUCCUUAGUAGCGGCGAGCGAAAAGGAAGAAGCCCAAACCGUUCUCGCAAGAGGGCGGGGUUGUAAGAUGACAAUGUAGUUUACUAGGAGAGUUAAAAAAUAAAUUAUUAGUUGAAGUUGCUGGAAAGCGACACCGUAGGGGGUGAUAGUCCCGUAAACGAAAAUAAUUUAUCUCUUUUAUUGUUAUUCUUGAGUACCCCAGGACAUGAAUGGCCGGGGGGAAUCNNUCUUAAAGAUCGAUAGUGAACAAGUACCGUGAGGGAAAGGUGAAAAGCAGCCCGAUUAGGGCGGUGAAAUAGACCUGAAACCAUAUGUCUACAAGGAGUCGGAGCAGGUAUUUAUAUCUGCAACGGCGUGCCUAUUGAAGAAUGAGCCAACGAGUUUAUUCAUACUGCAAGGCUAAGCUGGCUAAAACAGCAGAGCCGAAGGGAAACCGAGUGUUAAUAGCGCGAAUGAGUAGUAUGCAUAAGACCCGAAGCCAGGUGAGCUUGCCAUGAGCAGGUUGAAGUUUGUCGAAAGACAAAUGGAGGACCGAACCGGUAGAUCGUACAACGUCUUCGGAUGACUUGUGGUAAGGAGUGAAAAGCUAAUCGAACCUGGUAAUAGCUGGUUCUCUCCGAAAUAGCUUUAGGGCUAGCGUCAAGUGUUUUUUCUGGGGGUAGAGCACUGGAAGG
rnacentral:rRNA from 1 species